CAUUAAGUUGAGCACUCUAGUGAGAUUGCCCGGGUUAACCGGGAGGAAGGUGGGGAUGACGUCAAAUCAUCUAAGUAGCGGCGAGCGAAAGGGAAAGAGCCCAAACCAGGAACUUGUUCCUGGGGUUGCGGAUAGACCAUAAAUACUGCGAUUUUUUAACUGAAGAGAGCUGGAAGGCUCCGCCGUAGAAGGUAAAAGCCCUGUAAGUGAAAAGGAAGAGCAGUCAGGUCUAAUCCAGAGUAUCACGAGACACGUGAAACCUUGUGGGAAGCAGGGAGGACCACCUCCCACGGCUAAAUACUAACUGGUGACCGAUAGUGAAGCAGUACCGUGAGGGAAAGGUGAAAAGAACCCCGGAAGGGGAGUGAAAUAGAACCUGAAACUGUGUGUCCACAAUCAGUCGAAGCACUUUUAUGUGCGACGGCGUGCUUUUUGUAGAACGAGCCAGCGAGUUACGAUGUGUAGCAAGGUUAAAUACUUAAGGUAUGGAGCCGAAGGGAAACCGAGUCUGAAUAGGGCGAUGAUGCUCAACUUUGUUGAGCGAACCCAGCGAAGUUCUGGGAAAGUUGCAUGUCGUAGACACGAAACCGGGUGACCUAUCCAUGGACAGGUUGAAGCGGAAGUAAAAUUCCGUGGAGGACCGAACCAUGUUGGUGUUGAAAAACCAUGGGAUGAGCUGUGGAUAGCGGAGAAAUUCCAAUCGAACUCGGAGAUAGCUGGUUCUCCUCGAAAUAGCUUUAGGGCUAGCGUUUUGAAUGAGUAAUGGAGGUAGAGCACUGAAUGGGCUAGGGGCUGACAACAGUUACUGAACCCUAUCAAACUCCGAAUGCCAUAUACUUGAAUCAAAGCAGUCAGACUACGAAUGAUAAGAUCCGUGGUCAAAAGGGAAACAACCAUAACUCUUAACUAUUAAUUCUUAACUCUCAACUAAAUAAAAUCUGGUGAUUAUGACGUAAAGGUAACACCCGUACCCAUUCCGAACACGAAGGUUAAGCUUUACAGUGCUGAUGGUACUGCACGGGAGACUGUGUGGAAGAGUAAGUCGUCGCCAGGUAAGUAACAGGAAGACACUAGGUUUUGACACCUAGUGUU
rnacentral:ncRNA from 1 species